CCUUCCAUAGCUCAGUGGUAGAGCAAGUGACUUUUAAUCACGAGGUCGAGAGUUCGAAUCUCUCUGGAGGGA
rnacentral:tRNA from 2 species